rnacentral:rRNA from 2 species
AUUAGAUACCCCAGUAGUCAAAGCAGAAAAUGAUGAAUGUCAUAGAUUAGAUAUACAAUUUAUUCUAUAAAUGAAAGUGUAAGCAUUCCACCUCAAGAGUAAUUUGGCAACAUUGGAACUGAAAUCAUUAGACCGUUUCUGAAACCAGUAGUGAAGUAUGUUGUUUAAUUUGAUGAUACGCAAAAAACCUUACCACAAUUUGAAUAUUUAUAUAUAUCUUUUAUUGAUUUUUACUAACAUAUAUGUAGACAAUUAAAAUGAUGCUUAUCUCUCGUUUGUGAGACUAAGCAUCAAAAAAGAUAGUAUAUUUACAAGCGUUGCACGGCUGUCUUCAGUUAAUGUCGUGAGAUUUUGGUUAGUUCCAUUAAAUUAACGUAAACCCUUACUUUAUUUUUAUAUAAAGUAGUUCUCCGCUAUAUUGGAUAUGAUAACAGGGACUAAGACAAGU